GAUAGCACAGUACGAUAAAAGUUGUAAGCUGUGUUCGGGGGGAAGUUAUUGUCUAUCGUUGGCCUCUAUGGUAGAAUCAGUCGGGGGCUUGAGAGGCGGUGGUUUACCCUGU
rnacentral:ncRNA from 1 species